rnacentral:rRNA from 1 species
AUACGGAGGAUCCGAGCGUUAUCCGGAUUUAUUGGGUUUAAAGGGUGCGCAGGCGGCCAUUUAAGUCAGCGGUUAAAUCGUGGGGCUCAACCCCAUUCUGCCGUUGAUACUGGGUGGCUUGAUUGCGGUCGAGGUUGGCGGAAUUCGUUGUGUAGCGGUGAAAUGCAUAGAUAUGACGAAGAACACCGAUUGCGUAGGCAGCUGACCAGACCGCAAAUGACGCUCAUGCACGAAAGUGCGGGGAUCGAACAGGAUUAGAUACCCUGGUAGUCUGCACAGUAAACGAUGAAUACUUGUUUUCGGCGAUAUAAUGUCGGAGGCAAAGCGAAAGCGAUAAGUAUUCCACCUGGGGAGUACGCCGGCAACGGUGAAACUCAAAUGAAUUGGCGGG